AGAGUUUUAGUUUUCCCUUAUGGACGGAAUCUAAGACUUUUUGGCUAGUAUAUAAACACCGGUCCCUGCUAACCCUAGACACGACAACUAAGGCUUCCCAUAGAGCAUUGUCAUAAAGCUAGGAGUUUACAGAAGAGUUGGUGUUUCUGUUUGUCACGGCAAACAUAAAGAUUGGAGUUUUAUCGAUGACGUCUUGCUUGCAUGGCUACUGCAUCUUCGGUAACUACCAUUGGAAUCAGGUCAGUCACUCUUCGUUUGUGUUUUAAUUGUAUAACCUUAUAAGGCUAACAAUUGGUAUCAGAGUCACUGGUUAUAUGAUUAAAACCUAUUAGGUUUAAUAUUGGAUUAUAUAAUAUUAUGUGUUUAAUCCAAGUUAUUACAUAUACUCGGCAACAUCACCAUGCUGUUUAAAUCAGUUUCAACAUAGCCUUUGCUUGCCAUUGGAAAUUGGACUACGCUUAGAGGCUCUUUUGAUCAAGCAUGAAUUAAAUUAUAGAAUUGAAGAAUGAAAUUUAAAAAUCAUAUAGGAAUUGGAAUCCUAUAAUGAUAUAGGUACGUAAAGAAGCAUAUAUGUAAGGCGUAGUAUUAUUUUUAAAGUAUUUUACAGUGGGAACUCUAUUAUUCUUUUAACUAGCAGCAAGUCGUUAAGUUUCCUUUGCUCCAAAUGUUAAAAGUUUUAAAUGGGAGGGUUCUAUGAUGAAUAGCUCAAAUUCAUGGAAAUCAGUGUGUUUGGAAAAGGUUGAAUUUUUACUGGAUAAGGUAAAUGUCUCGGACAACGUAUUGGAGGUUCUUUGCAACCUGCUCAGGUUCAGAAUUCCAACUCUGAACAAAGCAGCAACCAAAUAUAACAGGAAAUAAUCGCUUGUGUUGGAAAAUUGCAUGCGCAUGCAAUUUCUAAGACUAAUUAUAUACAAGGUUUACAUGUAAAAUUUUUAUCAUGACACUUGUAUUUUACGUGUGUUUGCUUGAUCAACAAAAGCCAAUUUGAUUAGUCAAAAUAGAUUACCACCAAUAGUUCUGAUAAAGAAAUGACUAAGAAAGUUUGAUUAGCGUCAGUUUAUUGGAUUAACAACGAUUGAAAAUCAUGGAAUAUUUCAGAGUUUCUAUUUCAAUUUUCAUGCUAAUGUUUUGGUUGAUUUACCAUGUGCCACUGAUGAUCUCAAUUUUUGUAAGCAUGCUAUAUUUGUUCUGACCUUACUGAAGAGGCCCUCCGAUUAGCAAGCAGAACGAAGUCAUCUACCAAAGCAAAAUUGUUUGUUUCAUUGACUUUUAAUUUCCAUGAUGGUUUAUGGUAUUUUGGUUGAUAUAUAUUCAAGUUGAUCCCUGAAAGCUUAAAUUGGUAAUAAGAUAAAGAUAUAAUUGCAUGAGUGAUGUGCUAAUUAUUGUAGAGCAUGGACAUACAAUGAUUACCAUGUAUCGGUUAAGUAUGUCAUGAAUAUGGAUCCAAUUAUUAUAUAUUUUGGCAAUACGUAUCUAAAUUGGCAUAUGCUUAUUGAAUAAGAACUAAUAUUAUUUUCCAUGAAUUGCAUUCUAUAUGAAUUGCUACGAGUGAUACGUUAAUGCGACAAGAAACAAUUGCAUAAGUGCCAGCAAUUGUUGGAUCAAGCAAGUAUAUAUAAUUUUCUAAAGCCAAUUAUGCAUCUACAGUUCGCAUAGCAGGUAUAUGUAUUUACAUUUGUUCUAACCUUGCAUUGGAGAAUUUCUUAAGAUUCCUCAGUGGAACAAGCCCAAUGAAGAGGUUCGUAUUACAUCGGUAUAUGAAAUUCUGGUAUGAUCUUUCCUUUUGGUCUUCAUGAUAAAUUAUAUAAGGAAUGGUUAUGUUGGAUUCAUGAAGUGUUAUAUUGUUCUUGCAAAAUCCAACCAUCUCGUGACGUCCUUCUGAUUGUAGGAGACAUAAUUAGUCAUAUCCUAUAAUUUAUCAAUACUAUUGGGAUAUGUUAUGCCUAUGAUUGUAAUAACAUAUAUUACAAUAGUGUUGCAGGGAAGCAUACGCUAAGUUUUAUACAUGUCAACUAUAUACAUGUAUGUUAAUGAAUUUGAUAAAAUUCCCAUACAUGAAAGUAAGUCAUAAAGAUUUUGGCAACAUUUGUUAAGCAAAUGGCGUGUAUAGUGUUGCUUGUAUGGCUAAUUUGCUUCAAGCAUGAGAUUACAUAUUUUCAAUAUUGUCGUGGGUUUUGGACUAUAGUGAAUUGUAGUUUUGUUUCCACUAAUUUUCACAAGAUGAGAAUGAACUUUUAUGCCAUUAAUAGCACAAGAAAUAUGCAUGACUAAUCAAUCAGGUUUGUCUACAAUUUGCUUUCUUAUCUCAAUAGUCAUUUAAAUUAUACAUGACUAGUUAACUAUAAAAAUUGAUUUAUAAUUUGUGGAUUGACUGAGAAUGACAGAAAGCGUCCAGUGACAAGAACAAGGGUAUUAUACAAAUGAAUAAGGUUUGUAGUAGUUAUGUGACAGUUCUCAUUUAUAUUUUUAUUCUUAUAUGAGAAUUUUGGUUGGUCAUGUGAUUUUAUAUAUGUUUACAAAGAAGUGGUGAAUAUAUGAAGGCAUGAGGUAUGUAAUCCAUUCAAAGUAUGUGGCUUAAUUGACAAACAUGAAUUUUCAAACAUGUAUUAUUGUUUGUGGUUUUUCCUAUGCCUAAAGAAUUUAAACAGUGCUUUGAUUAGUAGUUUUUAUAUGCCAUAAGGGGAGAAGAAAAGAAACUUUUCAAGGCUAAUGUAGGGCAUAUAUUGGAGAUGUUUUCUAUGGAAGAAAAUAAUUUUGGUUGUUCCUUUUACUUAAUUUGGUAAUUACAAAGCUAAUGCAUGAUUUUAAUGCUCUAUGUUUAGUAGUUUUGUACUACGGAAAGAAAUAUAUAAAAGGAAAGGAACCCGUUUGAUUUGAGUGAUUUAGCUUUUAAAUUAAAGGAAUGUAUUGUUCUUUCCCAUUAAAUAAAGUAUUUCUAUUAAGUAAUUGACUCCAUAAUGAUAAGUAUUGACAUUCUUGUGGUGGAAUAAAACUUGUUCUAUAUGUGAUUAAUCUCUUUCAAGUAUGCUGUCAGGUUUUUUGAGAUUAAUUUAAUGUCAAAAGGAGUCAUGAAGGAAUUAGUGCCAUUUGUUGGCAAGACUCAAAGCUUGAAUCAGAUUAUCAUAAUUUUGUCACUUACAGUUAAUUAAUCCAUGUGACUUCUUGUAUUGUUUCAGGGUGGAGUUGACCAAUGCCUUUUCAACUAAGCAAGACGCAACGGCUUAGUUGACGAUGAGACUAUGUUUUUGAGUUACUUCGGUCAACUUUGCAUCUUAAUUAGAAUAAAAGGGAUAAUCUUCUUGCCUACAGGUGUGGAUUACUUCUUUUAGUUUAAUUAAGAUGGCAUAGUAUGGGUUUUAUUUCACAGAAGUUGUGAAAACCUUCAUCUUGCCUACAGGUGUUGAAGUUUUUCAUGAAGGAACUUUUGUGACAUAAAAUCUAGUACUAGAAACUAGUUAAUUUUCUUGCCUACAGGUGUAAAUUAAUUUAGUUUCAUGAAGUUUAUUGGGAUAAAGUUCCAUGCCAUUAGUGACAAAUAUUUCCACAAUGAGCCCCAUAAAAGGUUGUGGUUUGAAGACAUGGAAAUCAUUUGCAUCAUGAUGUAUUUUGUAUCUCUUCAUGAGACUUGUUGAUGCAAAGUAUUGGACCCAUGAAGGUUAAUCAAUGAUUGCUAAGGUACGCAUUGUUUAAGUCUUAUGCUUGUAAAUCUUUUCAAUUUGAAUUAUGAUGUCGGUUUAGAGGAUGAAAUUUGACUACUAAAGUUUCCUUUGGACAUCGAAAUUGAAAUGAUAUGAAAUUGAAUUUGUUAUGGAUAUAUAAAUUCAUGAUAGAUGCACAUAAUUGUUUCUGGCAGAUUGCGUGUCUUGAUUUAAAUCAGGUGAAUGACACGUCUAAUGAUCACCAAAUGACCUGAAUUUUGGAUAUGUUCAACAUAUAGAUGUCUAUUACGUGUCUACAAAUUUUCGUAAUUUUCUGCCAUGUAUGUUAAUUAUGAUGAAUUUACUAGUAACCCAUGCUCGUAUAGACAGUAUUUACUGACAGAUUGUGUUAGUUCUUUUGAGACGUCACUUUAGACUAUUAUUUGACCCAAAACAGCUCCAUUUUUUAUCUUACGAAGAUUAGUAUGUCUAUUUUGGUCAGUAUCACUUUGGUAGCAAUCAAGCUUGUAAAUUAAUUAUGAUAAAUUCUAAAGUAAGUGUAACUCAUUGCUGAAAUUCUGUUUGACAACUUUAUGUUGGUUGUGAUGUCUAUUUUAUUAUGUCUAAUAUAUAAAGAAAUUUUCUUUAGGUACAUCUUUGAAAGAAUAUAUUAACGAGUGUUUGCCCAAAUGAGAGAAUUAGUGAACGAAAAUUGGGCUUCACACUCAUUAACUUAUUUGCAAGCAUAAACUCUGAUAACUUAGUGGGAGUUGUUCUAAAAUUUUGAGCACUAAGUGGACUUGCAUGAAUCUAUUAAAGCAUUAUUCUAUCUUCCAUGAAUUUGUGUUACUUGAAUGUCUAUAAUAUGUUUAAGUUGCACAAAUGGAUACUUGGUAUAUGCGUACAUUUUCUAUUACUUGCAAUCAUUUAGAUUUCUCGAUUGAUCAUAUUGUUUUGGGGCUCAUAAGGACUUAGCAUAAAUGUGGACUUAUUAAUACAUAUAAGAUGGUUGUUGGAUACAUGUUUUGUGUAACAGCAGUGAAUGUUUUCAAGCUUAGUUGUACCUUUCAUUGAGGUAAUAUGCAUUCAUUGACUAAGUAAGGCUACUCCCAAAGGCAUAUUUUCAAAAGUAUGAUUUAAGUAUUGAUUUGCAAAAUAAGUAACGAUGUUGCAGAUCAGUGGGAGUUUGAGUUUCGUGUUAGUAAUGCUUUACAGUUGCAGAUGACCUAUAAGGUAUGUAUAGAAUCCAUGUAUUCAUAUUAAUCUCCAGUUGGAUUCAUUAAGUCAUAUUUUUCGUGUGCUAGUCAAUCAUCUGAUGAAAUAUAUAUCAGAUUUCAAGUUGUUAUCAAAUUGCAUAUUAAAUGUCAUGGCAUGGUUUGUGCACUACCUCAGUUGUGAGGAUUUCCAUCUUGCCCGCAGGUGUUGGAAAUCACUAUGAAAGUAACUGGUAUGGUGCAUAGAUCAGUGUCAAAAACAUAUUAAUUCAUCUUGCUCACAAGUGUUGAAUUAAUUUGUUUUAUGAAGUUUUGGGAUAUUUUACUUGGACAUGUGCCUAUUUGGUAUUUUCAGUUGUGUCCGUUGGCUACAAACAUUGUUUGUAUUAUUAUUGAUCUAAUGAAAGUGAUGCAUGAUUGUUUUGGAGAUGUAUUCACACCUACAGGUUAUGGUGGUUUCAUUAGAUGAAGGAUAUCUGCAUUGGCAGAUUUAAGGCUUCGAAGAAGCAUAAAGUGUAACUUGUGAGUUACAAUAAGGUGGACCUGAGAUGAUAUAAAGUAAGACAUUUUGGUUAAUUUAAAGUUUAAUUUUAAAGUUUCAUCUCUUGAUCAUAAUUUGUGUUUCAUGUAAAUGAUGAUCUUAGCAUGUGUGAUUAUGAAGGUUCUGGGUUGUGUCAACUCUACAACCUUGUUAGUUCCAUGUUAAGAAAUGCAUUUGACAGAAGCUGCAUUAAGGACGAGAUGUAAUCACUGUUACAUGGCCACUAAAGUGACAUUAGUCUCCAAUCUCAAGUAUAAACAUGAAUAUUACAUUUUGUAGACCAAGUGGGAGAAUGUUGGAUUUAUCCAAUAUAAAUCAACCUUUAAGUGGUCUACUAUAUGUAAUAGGAAUGUAAUAUUGGAGAAUAAUGUUAAUUGUGAUUUGAUCUCUUAAAGAUAUCAAUCUUAUAUAAGGUGUCUUAUAUUGGAAAUAGGAUUGAUGGAAUCCUUAAUAAUAUAUGAUUAUGAUAUUUUACUUGAGAGCCAAGAAAGGAGAGUUUUAGUUUUCCCUUAUGGACGGAAUCUAAGACUUUUUGGCUAGUAUAUAAACACCGGUCCCUGCUAACCCUAGACACGACAACUAAGGCUUCCCAUAGAGCAUUGUCAUAAAGCUAAGAGUUUACAGAAGAGUUGGUGUUUCUGUUUGUCACGGCAAACAUAAAGAUUGGAGUUUUAUCGAUGACGUCUUGCUUGCAUGGCUACUGCAUCUUCGGUAACUACCAUUGGAAUCAGGUCAGUCACUCUUCGUUUGUGUUUUAAUUGUAUAACCUUAUAAGGCUAACAGUAUAUAGGUUCCUAAUUUUCCUCAUGUAAUACUUGAUAGGUUACUAUUUCGAUGAGUUUGAAAAUAAGAUCCAUCUGUAUGUCUUUCAAAACAAAACAAGGCUCCAUUGGCUUGAUUGUUCAACAACCUUUAACAAGCGCAUGCAUAUGCUUACGUGUGGGAUAAAGCAGCACGUGUUGUAUCCGCAACGCGUCGCACAAAUGUGAUGAAGAAUAUCAGGGUUAACUCUAUACCGUACUAGCUAAUCAAAGGAACUAAAACAAAUCUGGAAAUUUUGAAUUAG
rnacentral:lncRNA from 1 species